AGCGAACGCUGGCGGCAGGCCUAACACAUGCAAGUCGAACGGAUCCUUCGGGAUUAGUGGCGGACGGGUGAGUAACACGUGGGAACGUGCCCUUUGGUUCGGAACAACUCAGGGAAACUUGAGCUAAUACCGGAUGUGCCCUUCGGGGGAAGAUUUAUCGCCAUUGGAGCGGCCCGCGUCUGAUUAGCUAGUUGGUGAGGUAAAGGCUCACCAAGGCGACGAUCAGUAGCUGGUCUGAGAGGAUGAUCAGCCACAUUGGGACUGAGACACGGCCCAAACUCCUACGGGAGGCAGCAGUGGGGAAUCUUGCGCAAUGGGCGAAAGCCUGACGCAGCCAUGCCGCGUGAAUGAUGAAGGUCUUAGGAUUGUAAAAUUCUUUCACCGGGGACGAUAAUGACGGUACCCGGAGAAGAAGCCCCGGCUAACUUCGUGCCAGCAGCCGCGGUAAU
rnacentral:rRNA from 1 species